rnacentral:rRNA from 1 species
UACAGAGGUCUCAAGCGUUGUUCGGAUUCACUGGGCGUAAAGCGCACGUAGGCGGUUUCUUAAGUCAGGGGUGAAAUCCUGGAGCUCAACUCCAGAACUGCCUUUGAUACUGGGAGACUCGAGUCCGGGAGAGGUGAGUGGAACUGCGAGUGUAGAGGUGAAAUUCGUAGAUAUUCGCAAGAACACCAGUGGCGAAGGCGGCUCACUGGCCCGAUACUGACGCUGAGGCACGAAAGCGUGGGGAGCAAACAGG